rnacentral:rRNA from 1 species
CCGGGUGAAGAUAAGACGGAUUAGCGGCGGACGGGUGAGUAACACGUGAGUAACCUGCCUUUUACACAGGGAUAGCCUCGGGAAACCGGGAUUAAAACCUGAUGAAACUAUCAAAUCACAUGAUUAAGAAAGUUAAAACUCCGGUGGUAAAAGAUGGACUCGCGUCCCAUUAGCUAGUUGGUGAAGGUAACGGCCCACCAAGGCAACGAUGGGUAGCGGCCUGAGAGGGUGAACGGCCACAUUGGAACUGAGAAACGGUCCAAACUCCUACGGGAGGCAGCAGAC